UAUAUGCCACAGGAGAAAAAGGAAAUUGCACUGGAAUUAGUCAUACCCAUUGUAAUGCAUUAUUAUUAAAAUCAAUACAAGCAGUUUUGGAAUUGUAAUGCUUAUUUUCCAGUUUCCCUCCUUAUAGUUUUCAUGUAAUUUUGCCAGGAUGAUCCAAUACAGGACUUACGGCUGACAAAAGACAUGGAGACCUUCAAAAACAAUGCCCUACAGGUUGUGAAAAAUACUAUGACGAUACCUCGGAUUAUUCUGACUCACCCCUCUACCUCAGAUGAGGACGUGGAGCCCCUGACGCAGGGCCCAGAUGACGGAGAUUUUGAUUCUGACUUCAGCGACUCGGACAGUCACAUCUACUCGGACUGCUUGAACAGCGCUUUCUAUCCUCUGUGAAAGAUAGAGAAGUACACAGACUCCAGGUUCUUCAUCUCUUUUCAUGCUUUUCGUUUAGUGUGUCAUUUGAUAUUAAAUGACCCUAAUAUACUGUUUCAAUUUCUUAUAGCCAUUUUUUUUCAUGUUCCUGAGAUUAUUAUAUUUAACAAAGAGCAUGUGGUUAUUAGCAUGACAGGAAAUGGCUUUAUCCACAGGCAUAAACAUGCUAAAUAGAUCUCAGAUUUGCAUGGAAGCGCUGAUGGUAGUCUAAAUAAUGGAUCAGGAUACACUGGAGUGUGAUUCAUUAUAUUUACACAACCCAACAGCACAAAUAGGCAAUGUCAACUGAGAUGAACAGAGAACUUAAUUUAACUGUAGAUUUCAAUCAGGUAGCUGCCAGACUCAAUUUUCCAGAUAAUUUUUGUGCUUUGGAAAGAUAACAAAUGUGUUUCUUUUUUUCCAGAAAAUAAAUUAUCGGACAAGGUUUAAUACCCUCUCUCUCUUUGUGAAUUCAGGUGUGCCUGUGUCCUUCGGUAAAGUGAAAUUGUUCUAGCUGUGGUCCACAAUCGCCGGAGCAGAAAACGAGUGGCGCGCGAUCGAUACUUCAGGCAAAGUCCACAGUAACAUGAUGCACUGUUUAGAACACCAUUGUGUGAAAGUGAUGUAGAGGAAGUGGGAAGUAAAUAGAUCAUAUUUUUCUAAAAUGUUACUCCUUUAAAUUGUACACGCUCUUAAAUAGACCUUACUUGCUUUGUGUAUGCUUCAUUUAAAUGUUUUUACUUGUAUCAUUUAUAAAUUGCCAAAAACAAAAUAAACUUUAAAAAUGUCAUUGUGCCGGUCAGGUGUGUAAUAGUAUGAAUGAUAUCUUUGAAGCGUAGAGCUGUUGUGAAUAUUUUGACAUGGAUAUCCAGCCUAGCAGCACAGAAGGCAUCCGAAUCACUGAACCACGGUGAUCUAUGAAGACCACUGACAGAUCACAGACUUGUUAAAUACUGUUUAAUCGCAUUUAAUAGUCCGGCAUUAUAGGUAAUGGAAUUUUGAUUUGUUCUAUGAUGGUAAAGCUCCUUGUUUAAGACUAAAAGAGUGUAUAAGACCUUACAUCCUGCUUACAUGAAU
ensembl:lncRNA